rnacentral:rRNA from 1 species
UACGAAGGGGGCUAGCGUUGCUCGGAAUCACUGGGCGUAAAGCGCACGUAGGCGGAUCCUUAAGUCGGGGGUGAAAUCCUGGAGCUCAACUCCAGAACUGCCUCGAUACUGAGGAUCUCGAGUCCGGGAGAGGUGAGUGGAACUGCGAGUGUAGAGGUGAAAUUCGUAGAUAUUCGCAAGAACACCAGUGGCGAAGGCGGCUCACUGGCCGGUACUGACGCUGAGGUGCGAAAGCGUGGGGAGCAAACAGG